rnacentral:tmRNA from 1 species
GGGGCCGACCUGGUUUCGACGUGGGUGCGGAUCUGGAGCAGGGCAUGCCGAGCACCAGUACGCUCGUAAAUCCACUGGAACAAACUAACUGCGAACGACGAACGUUUCGCCCUCGCCGCUUAAUGCCGCGAGCCUCUCAACGGCAGGCCGAUGGGCCGGGUCCGCAAGGGCUGAGGGGUAAUUUACAUCGGCUGGUCAAACGGUGCGCCUCGCGCCGGGUGACGAGAUUCAGAGGCUGGACCUUUGGGAAGCGUGCGCGAUGCGCGGCCUGGGGUUGAGAUCCAAAUCAUCGCGCUAAGCAUGUAGAUCUGCCCGGUGAUGGCUUACGGACGGGGGUUCAAUUCCCCCCGGCUCCACCA